rnacentral:rRNA from 1 species
ACACGUAAGGGGCGAGCGUUGUCCGGAAUUAUUGGGCGUAAAGGGCGCGUAGGCGGUUCUGCAAGCCCGGCGUGAAAAUCUGGAGCUCAACUCCGGGCCUGCGCUGGGAACUGCGGGACUAGAGUCAUGGAAGGGAAGUUGGAAUUCCAGGUGUAGGGGUGAAAUCUGUAGAUAUCUGGAAGAACACCGGUGGCGAAGGCGAACUUCUGGCCAAUGACUGACGCUGAGGCGCGAAAGUGCGGGGAGC